ACUGCACUGAACCCCCAGAGAAUCAAAGACAGGGCUUGAUGGAAGCAUUUUCUGGGCUGGUUUAUUGCACUUAACAAGAAAAUGGAAAUCUGACUUGAGAGAGAAAAACAUUUCUAAACAUUGCACACUGCUGGGGGUUAGUUGAUGUGGUCACUGAAAACUCCACAGAAGAAAGUGUCUCUAGAGUUCAGACACACUAAAAGCCCCUGCCCUCCUGACCAACCUGAGUGGACAGCACACCUGAGCUCUAAGUACGCGAUAUGAAGGACUCACACAGCCUGGCCUGGAUUAUCUGGACCACAAGAGUACAGCUCCUCCCCAACUUGGCCUGAAUCCUGAUAAAGCUACUUUCUAGUCCUCAUCUGCCAUGACCCAGCAGCAAAAAAUGACUAAACCAACUCUUCCCUUGCCCAGACUUAGUUUAAUCACAGUCCCCUUGGACUUGUGAACUUUCACUCCACUGGUCAUGGAAAGCAUUUGCUUUUGUCAGAGAGACAGAACAUGAGCAGGGGAAGGGGAGAAAGAGAAGGAGAAGCAGAC